rnacentral:lncRNA from 1 species
GCCAUUCAGGUCCAUGCCACCGCAACAAACCUAUAAUGGACUCCAGAACCAACUUCCAUGUCGUCGCGUUCCUCCCGAUCCUCCAUCCUCAUUCGCAAGCAUCACACAAACGUGAAUCUCUUUCGCUUUACCUUUCAUUCUACGCUCUGUUCGCUCUCGUUCUCAAAAUUCAAUCGAAGAAUCAAGGUGGCGUUGAAUCUGGCUCGCGCUGAAUCCUUCAAAGUAGACUUGUUUGUACGCACGAAAGAUGAAUCAAUAAUUGAAGCAAGGAAGUAGAAGAAUUUACCGGAUUCGAAUCUUGACGCCGCGACGCAACAGUUCGUGAUGAUGCUGUUGUAAUCGAAUCCUCUUCGCCUCAGCUCCGUGGCUCCCUUGUCGUACGUGUAGGUUGAGAAUUGCAAGGUUUGUAGGGAAAAUCCAGACGCGAAAUGGAGAACACUCAGAUUCAAGCGUC